rnacentral:rRNA from 1 species
GUACCUGAAGUCGGUGACCGUAAGGAGCUGCCUAGGGUAAAACUAGUAACUGGGGCUAAGUCGUAACAAGGUAGCCGUACCGGAAGGUGCGGCUGGAACACCUCCUUU